rnacentral:lncRNA from 1 species
UGACCUUCCAGGGUCUUUGGCACUUGCUUUGGGCCACGUUCAUACGUUGGAUGUUGAGUAUGUUCUUGGGGGGACGAAGUGCACUGAUCUUCCAGGGUCUUUGGCACUUGCUUUGGGCCACGUUCAUACGUCGUAUGUAGUGUAUGCUCAUGGGGGGUGGAGUGCACUGACCUUGUUGGAUGGCCCAGACGUGGGUGGCAAGCGUGGUUAAAGAAUCUAGGAAUUUCUGAGGGGAUGCUUAGGCGCUUUAAUUGGUCCAUGGUCUUUGGCACUUGCUUUUGGCCAUGUUCAUAGCUCAUACGACACAGGAAAUAGAAUAAUAUGGCAGAGUGUACUUUGUACUGAGGGGGCUUGUCACCUGGUAGGGAACUCCUUUUGGCCCCAGGCUGAUCACCUACGGGGGGC